AGAUUGAACGCUGGCGGCAGGCCUAACACAUGCAAGUCGGGCGGCAGCACGGGUACUUGUACCUGGUGGCGAGCGGCGGACGGGUGAGUAAUGCCUAGGAAUCUGCCUGGUAGUGGGGGAUAACGCUCGGAAACGGACGCUAAUACCGCAUACGUCCUACGGGAGAAAGCAGGGGACCUUCGGGCCUUGCGCUAUCAGAUGAGCCUAGGUCGGAUUAGCUAGUUGGUGAGGUAAUGGCUCACCAAGGCGACGAUCCGUAACUGGUCUGAGAGGAUGAUCAGUCACACUGGAACUGAGACACGGUCCAGACUCGUUAGGGAGCAGCAGGUGGGGAAUC
rnacentral:rRNA from 1 species